UGUUCAGAUUGUUUUAAGUGAUAAUUUAACAAUAUUUUUCCAAAUAAAUAGAAAGAAACUUUUAUUUAUAUCAAAUAAUUGAGUGUCUCGACUGUGUGACAUUAUGUCUUGUGUGGUAUGGGGCUGCAGCUCACAUUCAGGAAGAAAAGAAAAUAGCCAACAACUUCUGUCGUUUCAUCGAUAUUAAAUCCAAAAGUGUCGACUGGAUUUACAUGAAAAGUCAGUUCAAGAAGACGAGAUGAAAAAUUUAAAAGAAAAGCUGAACAAGUCCCGCCUCAAGAUCAAACGACUUAAUGAAAAAAAAAAAACAAUGUGACAGGGUGUCACAAAGACAGUUUCUAAGCAAAUUGACACUGUUUAGAAAUUAAUAAAUUUGUAUUUAUUGUAAAUAUAAUGUACAUAAUUAAUAACGUGUGAAAUAAAUACUUGCUAAUGAACAGAUUUACGAUCUAAUUUAUAUUUCAUUUUACCUCCUUUUCUUAUUUACUCCUACUCCAACACUCCAGGUUGAUACGAAC
rnacentral:lncRNA from 1 species